GCCGAAAUAGCUCAGUUAGGAGAGCGUUAGACUGAAUAUCUAAAGGCCCCUGGUUCGAUCCCGGGUUUCGGCA
rnacentral:tRNA from 1 species